rnacentral:lncRNA from 1 species
CCCUCUUUUCCCUACCCGAUUCCCAGGCAGCCAGUGAUUUCCUUUCUUUCACUAGAUGAUAGUUUGUACUUCCUAGAUUUCAUGUAAAUGAAAUCAUAAAGUAUGAUGUUUUUUAGGCUUGCCUCUUUCAUGAAUCAUAGUUAUUUUUUGUAUAUCAACAGUUUAUUCCUUUUUAUUGCUAAAUAGCAUUUCAUUACAUGAGCAGAUAACAGUUUAUUUAUUCAUCUGUGGAUGAGCCUUUGGUUUGUUUCUUUUUUCAGCUAUCAUAAAAGGACUAUGGAUAUUUCUGAUAUAAGCCCUAGAAGUUGCCAAGAUAAUUUCCAAAUUAGUUUCAACAUUAUACAUUCACCAGAAAUGUAUGAGAGUUCCAGCUCUUCCAUAUCCUGGCCAAAUUUGGAAUGAUCUUACAUCCAUGGAUGUGACUGUCUGAGCAAGUGGAAGAAGCCAUGGUAUAACACAGAUUAAAUUAUCUCAGUGAUGAUGGUAAUCAUUUCCAAAAGAAGGUAGUGGUCCUCUUCCCUGAACUGUAAGAACUGUGAUUUCAUGCACUCCAAGUUGAGAACCCCUGCAGGAUCCUGAGUUGACUAAAUCCUAAUCAGUACGGCAGUCAAAGAUUCCGUAGUGCCUGGCCAUUGUAUGGAAAGAUCAGUCUUCUCAAGGUUAUUAAAAUCUCCCAUAAUAUAUUCACUGUGUACUUACAUGAAUACAAUGAUGUCAACUAAAAUACAAUUUAUUUCAAAUUUUUAAUUUUGUGUUGUCUAUUAAGUAUGCUUACAUUUUUAUGUCAACAUGGUUUCACUUUUUAUGUUAGAAAAUGCUAAGCAAUAAAUGCUACAGCUGAAUGUUGAAAGGUAUUAGUGUUGCUUGAAGCUCACCAAAUAAACACCCAGAUACUCCACGGGUAUAGCCCAGUCCUGACCUUCAGUGGAUAGGAAACUAUUCAGUGAAAUGUAAUGCACAGUACUGGAUUAUGGUCAGUGGAAUUUUUCAAAAUAAAUUAUCCAUAUCUGUAUUACUUGAUUCGGCUUGACUCCUCUUUUAACUAAAGUAUGUUUUAACUGUUUUUUUUCUUUUUUCUUUUUUUUUUUUUUGAGACAGAGACUCCCUCUGUCGCACAGGCUGGAAUGGAGUGCAGUGGCACGAUCGCGGCUCACUGCAAGCUCCGCCUCCGGGGUUCACACCAUUCUCCUGCCUCAGCCUCCCAAGUAGCUGGGACUACAGGAGCCCGCCACUACACCCGGCUAAUUUUUUGUAUUUUUAGUGGAGACGGGGUUUCACCGGGUUAGCCAGGAUGGUCUCGAUCUCCCGACCUCGUCAUCUGCCCGCCUCAGCCUCCCAAAGUGCUGGGAUUACAGGCGUGAGCCACCACGCCCGGCCCAACUAUUUUUUAUUAAUUACUGGCAAACUCCUAUUUUCCAGCCACUUCUGUUAUUCUUAUAAAACACUUUUACACUAUUUACAAAUGUGCAUUAAUACAAAAUUAUUGGUUUAUGCGAUUUCUCAAAAAAAUUUCAUCAUGUACCUCAAAGCUUAAGGUAGUUGGAGGUUCAAGUUCCAAUUAGAACUUAGUGCAAAUCCCUUCUGCAGAUACAAGUAUAGUAAAAUAAUUAUUGCCUGGGAAUUUCAGAAACCUUUUAUAGCUCCUGCUAUUGUCUUCUUGCCAAAAUGAACUAUCUGCUCAUUUAUUCUAAAUUAGAAUUGUGCAGUUAACAAAGAUCAAGAAGAUUAAAAACAUGGUGUGAAGCCAGUUUAGCAUAACAUUUAGUAUUUCCUUUUGUAAGUACUGCUCUCCUGUGCUUAGUUAAGUAUUAUUUAAGAUACUAUUGGAUCUUUAUAGAAUGUUCCCAUGAUUAAAAUUUAAUUUUGACACUACAACAUGUACAAAGUUCUGUCAAGUAUUAUUAAUGAUUAAACAAUGAGGAAAUAUGUUAUUACAGUGUGUUCAAUCUUUAAUGUCCAUUAAAUCCACUUGGUAAGUGUAAGUGGAAAUGAUACUAACUACAAUUCUCAUUCUCUAGUCCUUUACACAUUAUAAAGAAAUGAGGAUCUUACAAUACCAAUCAAUAAGUGAUGAAAAGAAACUGUGCGUGGUGGCUGAAAUUUGAAUGGGCCUUUCACAGAAAUCUUAUUAUUCUCCUACUAGGGACAGUGCAGAACAGACAUUCCACUUCCCGCUUUGUAAGCAAAUGCCUAGGCGUGUAGCACUGUGAUUAUAUUUCUAUCUUCGGCCUUAGAUCAUCUUCAGCAUCAGAGAGUUCUGAAAAUCCCAUUAAGAAGUCAUUUCAAGGAAACAUAAAUGUUCUUUGAAAUAAUCUUCAAUGCUUUUCUAAUUUUUUAUAUUAAUGUCUCCUGCAACCCUCUUCCCAGAAUGGGUAAUAAAUCCUCUUAUAUUUAUGCACAGAGAGAUAUGUAUAUACAGUUUAUUUACUUCCUGUUUUAAUUGCUGUCCUAACUAAAUACAACACAUGUAAUGCAAAUGUUUGCCAAACUUUGUAUGGGUUGUACUUAACAUGUAUAACACUGGCAUUUUAGCUGAACUGAUCGUGACAAAGCAUUCCUGAAUAAAAAUUACUUUUUUAGAAAGGAAACAGUUCUGUUGCAAAAUCAAGUUUUUACUUUUUCUUAUGGUUUUGUAGCCUAACGAAAAAUGAAUACAUGAUGAAAUGUAUCCCAAUUUCCUUCCACUUUUAAUUGAUCUUCAUAGGCUUGAGGGAAUUUGUCUUUAUAUUCAUCUCCCAGGGAGAAUUUCCACCAAAUUAUUUGAGUGAGUUAUCAUCAUUCAACUUUGCCUGGC